rnacentral:tRNA from 1 species
GUGGUGGCUCAGUGGUCAAAUGCAUGCCUGGCAUGUGUGAGGUACUGGGUUCGAUCCUCAGCACUACA